UAGAGUUUGAUCCUGGCUCAACGACGCUGGCGGCGUGCUUAACACAAGUCGAGCGGAAAGGCCCUUCGGGGUACUCGAGCGAACGGGUGAGUAACACGUGAGUAACCUGCCCCUGACUCUGGGAUAAGCGGGAAACUGGGUCUAAUACCGGAUACGACAUGUCGGCAUCGAUCGUGUGUGGAAAGUUUUUUCGGUUGAUGGACUCGCGGCCUAUCAGCUUGUUGGUGGGGUAAUGGCCUCAAGGCGACGACGGGUAGCCGGCCUGAGAGGGCGACCGGCCACACUGGGACUGAGACACGGCCCAGACUCCUGGAGGCAGCAGUGGGGAUUGCGCAGGCGAAAGCCUGACGCAGCGACGCCGCGUGGAUGACGGCCUUCGGGUUGUAAACCAGGGACGAAGUUGACGUGUACCUGCAGAAGAAGCGCCGGCUAACUACGUGCCAGCAGCCGCGGUAAUACGUAGGGCGCAAGCGUUGGGAAUUAUUGGGCGUAAAGAGCUCGUAGGUGGCUUGCACGUCGGGUGUGAAAGCUUGGGGCUUAACUCCAGGUCUGCAUUCGAUACGGGCUGGCUAGAGGUAGGUAGGGGAGAACGUUCCUGGUGUAGCGGUGAAAUGCGCAGAUAUCAGGAGGAACACCGGUGGCGAAGGCGGUUCUCUGGGUUACCUGACGCUGAGGAGCGAAAGCGUGGGGAGCGAACAGGAUUAGAUACCGUAGUCCACGCUGUAAACGUUGGGCGCUAGGUUGGGGACCUUCCACGGUUUCCGCGCCGUAGCUAACGCAUUAAGCGGGGAGUACGGCCGCAAGGCUAAAACUCAAAGGAAUUGACGGGGGCCCGCACAAGCGGCGGAGCAUGUUGCUUAAACGCGAAGAACCUUACCAAGGCUUGACAUCGCCCGAAACCUCAGAGAUGGGUGCCUCUUCGGAUCUGACAGGUGGUGCAUGGCUGUCGUCAGCUCGGGGGUUAAGUCCCGCAACGAGCGCAACCCUUGUUCAAUGUUGCCAGCAACAUCCUUCGGGGUGGUUGGGGACUCAUAGACCGGGGUCAACUCGGAGGAAGGUGGGGGACGUCAAGUCAUCAUGCCCCUUAUGUCUUGGGCUGCAAACAUGACAAUGGCCGGUACAGAGGGUUGCGAUACCGCAAGGUGGAGCGAAUCCCUAAAAGCCGGUCUCAGGAUUGGGGUCUGCAACUCGACCCCAUGAAGUCGGAGUCGCUAGUAAUCCAGAUCAGCAACGCGGUGAAUACGUUCCCGGGCCUUGUACACACCGCCCGUCACGUCACGAAAGCAACACCCGAAGCCCGUGGCCCAACCAGCUUGUCUGGGGGGAGCGGGGCUGGCGAUUGGGAGUCGUAACAAGGUAGCCGUACCGGAAGGUGCUGGAUCACCUCAAU
rnacentral:rRNA from 1 species